CCUACGGGUGGCAGCAGUGAGGAAUAUUGGUCAAUGGACGAGAGUCUGAACCAGCCAAGUAGCGUGAAGGAUGACUGCCCUAUGGGUUGUAAACUUCUUUUAUAUGGGAAUAAAACGUUCCACGUGUGGGAUUUUGUAUGUACCAUAUGAAUAAGGAUCGGCUAACUCCGUGCCAGCAGCCGCGGUAAUACGGAGGAUCCGAGCGUUAUCCGGAUUUAUUGGGUUUAAAGGGAGCGUAGGUGGAUUGUUAAGUCAGUUGUGAAAGUUUGCGGCUCAACCGUAAAAUUGCAGUUGAAACUGGCAGUCUUGAGUACAGUAGAGGUGGGCGGAAUUCGUGGUGUAGCGGUGAAAUGCUUAGAUAUCACGAAGAACUCCGAUUGCGAAGGCAGUUCACUGGACUGCAACUGACACUGAGGCUCCAAAGUGUGGGUAUCAAACAGGAUUAGAUACCCCUGUAGUC
rnacentral:rRNA from 1 species